rnacentral:miRNA from 1 species
UUUGACCAAGUUUGUAGAACA